GCAUAUCAAUAAGCGGAGGAAAAGAAAAUAACAAUGAUUCCCUCAGUAACGGCGAGCGAAGAGGGAUAAGCUCAAAUUUUAAAUCUGUUGGGUUCCACUCGACAGAGUUGUAUUUUGAAGAAACGUUUUCUGCGUCCAGGAUUAGCCUAAAUCCUUUGGGAUAAGGUAUCAUGGAGGGUGAGAAUCCCGUUCAUGGUUAAUCUUAAGGAAGCUCUACGAUACGUUUUCCAAGAGUCGAGUUGUUUGGGAUUGCAGCUCAAAAUGGGAGGUAAAUUUCUCCUAAGGCUAAAUAUUGGCGAGAGACCGAUAGCGAACAAGUACCGUGAGGGAAAGAUGAAAAGAACUUUGAAAAGAGAGUUAAACAGUACGUGAAAUUGUUGAAAGGGAAACGAUUGAAGUCAGUCAUACCAACGGGAAAUCAACCUUUUGAGCUCGGUCUCGUGGGUUUUGAAGAGUUUCAAAGCCUUCGGAUUCGCGGGAUUGGGAUCUCUUGGUGUACUUUUUCGUACGGUUAGUCAACAUCGGUUUUGAAUGUCAUAAAAUGACUGGAGGAAUGUAGCUUCGAUCUCGUAUUGAAGUGUUAUAGCCUUUGGUAGAUGUGAUGUUUGAGACCGAGGAUUGCAACGGAUACCCUUCAGGGCUAUUCGUCUGAUCUCUGAUACGUUGCCUUGAUGUUGAAAGCUUGCUUAUGAUGUUAGGGUAUUACGGUCAAAAGGUUAGAACGAAUUACAUUCGUUAAGGAUGUUGACGUAAUGGCUUUAAACGAC
rnacentral:rRNA from 1 species